rnacentral:tRNA from 1 species
GGCGCUGUAGCUCAGUUGGGAGAGCGUUCGACUGAAAAUCGAAAGGUCACGGGUUCAAUCCCCGUCGGUGCCA